AUCGAAAUAGCUUAGUUGGGCGUUAGACUAUAGAUCGAAAAGUUCCUGGUUCAAUCCCAGGUUCCAGCA
rnacentral:tRNA from 1 species